AGCGAACCUAACCAAUCGAAGAAGAGGGACCGGUAAGAGUGUCAAAGAAAGACAGCAUGCGAUAGAGAAAAAGCUUUCACCUCGACUAGAAGAUAGAAGAAAGAAGCCUAGAAGCAAGCACAGGCCUUACCUUCCGCCUUGUCCGUAGAUAGAAGAAGAACAGGAGAAAGAAGAAUGGAAAUAACCGUAGUUAUUUCCGCUCUUGUCGGAAUUGCUACUAGAAAGGAGUUAUCACCGGGAAAUCUCUUUAGACUUUAGAAAAGAAAAGUCCUAAGCAGCAAGGUCAGUCAAUUCUUUCUUAUAUAUAUAAGCAUAAUUAACAUAAUUUUCUUUUUCUUUUUAACUUAAUUAAACUUAGUUGACUAACUAAUCCAUUUUUAUUAAAUUACUUUAAUAAUAGAUAGUGGGAAAUGAUAUAUAAUUUGCACUUAUUAUUAGUAUGAAUUAUUAAGUGUUUAAUUACUCUAUGGUCCUUAAUAAAAUUACACGUUAAGCCCCUUUUAAUUGUUUUCAUUCAAUUUCUUCUAUUUAACCCAUUUGACGAUUUAGUCCUAUACUAUAAUUAGCAACUUAACUAAACUAAUUCCACUUAACAAUUUGACCAUACCAUUACAUGUCCAACACGUAAUUAUCCGUUUCAAAAUUUUGAUUAACUUAAUUGAAUAAAUUGAUCAUAAAAUUGAAUUUUUCGAUGUCGUUGAAAUUUGGAUUAUUAAAAUUCCCCUGUUAUUGAAUUCUAUUUCUAACCAGUUCGUGAUUGAAUUGUUGUUUUGAGCUGCUGUCACUUGAAAACCCAGCAGGUCCCAGACUAGGCUGAUAGAGGGGCAAUCAUGGACCGCAUGGGCUGCAUCUUCUGGAUAGGAAUUGCAUCUUGGGAAUGUAAUAUAAGUAGUAACCCUCUUUAUGCACAGAUUAUGAAGUGUAGGAACAAAAUUGUUGUAGAAUUUCCACACUGUGAUUUUUACUUUUUGGGGCAUAGAUAAUAGCCAUAGCUUUCUGUAAAAGGAUUUUUCUGUGGGCGAGAUAUUAUUUGGGUUAUUAUUAUGAUGUAAAUUCCCUAGCAUAAGGCACUUGUAGCCACUAUAAAUAGAGUAGAUACUUGAGUUUUCGUCCAUCCAAGCUUGAACAUCUUCUACCUGGUGCAUACACAAGGGAAUGCAAAGAUUACAUCGUGCUUCCUCAGUACUAAACAAGGAAGCUCAAAGAAAGUACCGGGAGGACAUAAGGAAAAAUCUAACAGAGGCCUUGCCCAAACUGAGGUCUAAACUGGUUCUCCAUGCCCAAGUUUCUACGAGCCCUCUAAAUCUGAGUCAGAUAACGUUUUGUAGAGUCAGGCGAUCGAAUCAACUUGAAGAUCACAUUAUCGAGAUACAUUUUGGUAGAUUUUGUUAUGUUUAUUUUGGGUUAUAUGGCAUGUAAUAGGUGUUUUUGUAUAUGUUUAGAUACUUAUUACAAAUGUUAUGUUUUAAGCUUGAUAUAAGCUUACUUGUGUGUGUGUCUUUAAUCUUGGUGUGAAUAUGUUCAUAUAAAAUUGUUUUGGUCAUGUGUAAAGGUGAUCAUGGGUUGGACUACCUGGCCUAGCCUAACGGCCUGCCCAAAAAAUAGGAGGGUUCGGGUAAAAAUAUAGGCCCAAAAUAUGGGUUUGGGAAAAAAAUGAGGCUAGUUUAGAAAACGGGCUGGGCCUCGGGUAAAACGUUUUUGGCUCGGGCCCGGCCCGAAUUAUAUAUUAAAUAUAUAUUUUUUAUUUUUAAUCAAAUAUACUUUUUAAAAUUUAAUAUGCUAUUUUCUUUUAAAAUAUGCUAUUUUGAUGUUGUAAAAUUUAAUAUGGACCGGGCUGGGCUUAGCAAUUUUCUUUCGAGUCGGGCUUGGACAAAUUUUUAGGCCCAUAUUUUGACCCGGGCCUAGAAAACAGCCUAAAAUUUUGUCUGGGCCCAGCCUAAACCCGGCCUGGCCCAUGAUCACCUCUAGUCAUGUGAUAUAAACCUUAUUUAAAUCUUUGAACCAUGGUAUGAAUGAAUGUGAAUGAUUAAGAAGAAAUGGUAAGUUUAGCAUGAGUUUUAUA